GGUAGCUCAGCAGUAGCAGUAGAGCAUCAGUAUUGCAUGCAGAAGAUCCCAGGUUCGAUACCUGGCAUCUCCU